GUAGUUAGCCGGUGCUUCUUCUGUGAGUGAUGUCCUUCCUGCCGGCUAUUAACCCGCAGGCCUUCUUCCUCACUGAAAGUGCUUUACAACCCGAAGGCCUUCUUCACACACGCGGCAUGGCUGGAUCAGGGUUGCCCCCAUUGUCCAAUAUUCCCCACUGCUGCCUCCCGUAGGAGUCUGGGCCGUGUCUCAGUCCCAGUGUGGCUGAUCAUCCUCUCAGACCAGCUACGGAUCGUCGCCUUGGUGAGCCGUUACCUCACCAACCAGCUAAUCCGACAUAGGCUCAUCCGAUAGCGCGAGGCCCGAAGGUCCCCCGCUUUCCCCCGUAGGGCGUAUGCGGUAUUAGCCUGGGUUUCCCCAGGUUAUCCCCCACUACCGGGCAGAUUCCUAUGCAUUACUCACCCGUCCGCCGCUCGCCACCAGGGAGCAAGCUCCCCGUGCUGCCGCUCGACUUGCAUGUGUUAGGCCUGCCGCCAGCGUUCAAUCUGAGCCAGGAUCAAACUCUGA
rnacentral:rRNA from 1 species